CCUACGUGUGGCAGCAGUGGGGAAUAUUGGGCAAUGGGCGAAAGCCUGACCCAGCAACGCCGCGUGAAGGAAGAAGGCUUUCGGGUUGUAAAAUUCUUUUGACAGGGAAGAGCAGAAGACGGUACCUGUCGAAUAAGCCACGGCUAACUACGUGCCAGCAGCCGCGGUAAUACGUAGGGAGCGAGCGUUGUCCGGAAUUACUGGGUGAAAAGGGAGCGUAGGCGGGGAUGAAAGUUGGGUGUUAAAUCUACCGGCUCAACUGGUAGUCGCACUCGAAACUGCAGCUCUUGAGUGAAGUAGAGGCAGGCGGAAUGCCUAGUGUAGCGGUGAAAUGCGUAGAUAUUAGGAGGAACACCAGUGGCGAAGGCGGCCUGCUGGGCUUUUACUGACGCUGAGGCUCGAAAGUGUGGGGAGCAAACAGGAUUAGAUACCCGAGUAGUC
rnacentral:rRNA from 1 species